UGGGGAAUUUUGGACAAUGGGGGAAACCCUGAUCCAGCCAUCCCGCGUGUGCGAUGAAGGCCUUCGGGUUGUAAAGCACUCUUGGCAGGAAAGAAACGUCAUGGGUUAAUACCCCGUGAAACUGACGGCACCUGCAGAAUAAGCACCGGCUAACUACGUGCCAGCAGCCGCGGUAUUACGUAGGGUGCAAGCGUUAAUCGGAAUUACUGAGCGUAAAGCGUGCGCAGGCGGUUCGGAAAGAAAGAUGUGAAAUCCCAGAGCUUAACUUUGGAACUGUAGUUUUAACUACCGCGCUAGAGUGUGUCGGAGGGAGGUGUAAUUCCGUGUGUAGCAGUAAAAUGCGGAGAUAUGCGGAGGAACACCAAUGGCGAAGGCAGCCUCCAGGGAUAACACUGACGCUCAUGCACGAAAGCGUGGGGAGCAAACAGG
rnacentral:rRNA from 1 species